CCCCUCGGCAUAAUAAAUGUACUUUCCCUAAUCGUGUGCGGUGUAUACCGAUGUAUAUCAGUAUGUCAAACGAUUUUUAUCGGCCAACUAAAAUCGCAUCGUGUGCGCCAGGCUUUAGUGACAACCAUUAUUAACUACUAUAUAUAUAGUGUACAUGCACGGAGGGAUAUUUAUCGUAAGCCGUUUUUCUACCAACUCCAAAAUUAAAA